rnacentral:rRNA from 1 species
GACGAACGCUGGCGGCGUGCUUAACACAUGCAAGUCGAACGGAAAGGCCCUGCUUUUGUGGGGUGCUCGAGUGGCGAACGGGUGAGUAACACGUGAGUAACCUGCCCUUGACUUUGGGAUAACUUCAGGAAACUGGGGCUAAUACCGGAUAGGAGCUCCUGCUGCAUGGUGGGGGUUGGAAAGUUUCGGCGGUUGGGGAUGGACUCGCGGCUUAUCAGCUUGUUGGUGGGGUAGUGGCUUACCAAGGCUUUGACGGGUAGCCGGCCUGAGAGGGUGACCGGCCACAUUGGGACUGAGAUACGGCCCAGACUCCAACGGGAGGCAACAGUGGGGAAUAGUGCACAAUGGGCGGAAGCCUGAUGCAGCAACGCCGCGUGCGGGAUGACGGCCUUCGGGUUGUAAACCGCUUUCGCCUGUGACGAAGCGUGAGCGACGGUAAUGGGUAAAGAAGCACCGGCUAACUACGUG